AGUUUUGUUUUUAUUGAGCAUAUCUUCUAUUUUUUAGAAGGAAGAUAGAGUGCUGUGAAUUGGUAAACGUGUAAAGCAAGAUUUGUCAACCUAGCCAGCCAAGUCACUUACUGCAAAGGGUUACAAAGCAGUGUUUCGUGUCAAACUGUUACUGCUUUAGAUUCACUAAAAGCCUACUACUACUACUCUGGUAAAUCACAUCAGCUUUAUCAGGUACAAUGAUUUCUUUUUUUUGUAUGUAAUUUUUUUCUUAUUUACUUAUU